rnacentral:rRNA from 1 species
AAAACGACUCUCGGCAACGGAUAUCUCGGCUCUYGCAUCGAUGAAGAACGUAGCAAACUGCGAUACUUGGUGUGAAUUGCAGAAUCCCGUGAACCAUCGAGUCUUUGAACGCAAGUUGCGCCCGAAGCCAUUAGGCCAAGGGCACGUCUGCCUGGGCGUCACGC